UCCCCGAGCGGCUGAGCAGUAAGCAUUGAGCAACGUCCAAAGGAUGGCAGCUUACGCCCCACAGUGAAGAGGAGCUAUCUCGGCCUGGGCUGCUCCUUUUGGAUUCUGAAAUUUGAGAGUACACAGUUCACAUGAUCUAAUCGCCGUCGGUCUCUUUUCAGCAUAUAGGUUGCAGCUCAGUACUCACCAUAUACGUUGAUCAAAGAAUGAGAAGUCUGAAAUAUUGGCGUGCACUUAUAGAAAUGUGUGCAGUAAUUAAUAAAUUAGGUUUUGUCAUCCAUAUGUAUUAGAAAUUAAUGGAAAAAUUAGGCCCAUAUCUAAUAAUCAAAAUUAUUUACCUUAUUUUCUCUUUCAUUUAUUAAAGAUUCUAACAUACUCCCUCCAACCAAAAUACAAGUCACCCAAGGAAUUUUAGGACAGUUUAAUACGGAGGUAAAAUGACCCAUUUAUUAGUUAUAUUUGAUGCUAAUUGAUUGCUACACGC
rnacentral:lncRNA from 1 species